rnacentral:tRNA from 1 species
GGAGAGAUGUCCGAGUGGUUUAUGGAGCUGGUUUUGAAAACCAGUGAUGCUGAAAGGCACCGGGGGUUCGAAUCCCUCUCUCUCCGCCA